rnacentral:misc_RNA from 1 species
CAACCCUCAAGCUCUGCUUGGUCUUGGGCCCUGCCGGCAACGGCUGGCCUUAAAUUUAGUGGCGGUGCCAUUGAGCUCUACGCGUAGUAAUUUACAUCUCGCUUCUGAGUCUCGGUGGACGCUUGCCAGCAACCCCCAAUUUUCUAU